rnacentral:rRNA from 1 species
UACGUAGGGUGCGAGCGUUAAUCGGAAUUACUGGGCGUAAAGCGUGCGCAGGCGGUAAGUUAAGUCUGAUGUGAAAGCCCCGGGCUCAACCUGGGAAUGGCAUUGGAAACUGGCUUGCUGGAGUGUGGCAGAGGGGGGUGGAAUUCCGCGUGUAGCAGUGAAAUGCGUAGAGAUGCGGAGGAACACCGAUGGCGAAGGCAGCCCCCUGGGCCAACACUGACGCUGAUGCGCGAAAGCCAGGGGAGCGAACGGG